AACCUCCGCAAUGUGAGAAAUCGCGACGGGGGGAUCCCAAGUGCCAUUCUUAACGGGAUGGCUUUUCAUUAGUGUAAAGAGCUUUUGGAAUAAGGGCUGGGCAAGACCGGUGCCAGCCGCCGCGGUAACACCGGCAGCUCUAGUGGUAGCAGUUUUUAUUGGGCCUAAAGCGUCCGUAGCCGGUUUAAUAAGUCUCUGGUGAAAUCCUGUAGCUUAACUGUGGGAAUUGCUGGAGAUACUAUUGACUUGAGACCGGGAGAGGUUAGAGGUACUCCCAGGGUAGAGGUGAAAUUCUGUAAUCCUGGGAGGACCGCCUGUUGCGAAGGCGUCUAACUGGAACGGUUCUGACGGUGAGGGACGAAAGUUAGGGGCGCGAACCGGAUUAGAUACCCGGGUAGUCCUAACUGUAAACGAUGCGGACUUGGUGUUGGGGUGGCUUUGAGCUGCUCCAGUGCCGAAGGGAAGCUGUUAAGUCCGCCGCCUGGGAAGUACGGUCGCAAGACUGAAACUUAAAGGAAUU
rnacentral:rRNA from 1 species